GACAUUAACCUAUCGUUCACUCGCCUAACCUCGACCACAGACUCCCUUAGGUCCCUAUCAACAAAGAUGCCCACUCCAUUCUUACCCCUCUCGAGCCCAGAGUACCACAGCUUAAACCCAUCAGCCUCCCGCGCCCUAGUCCCUUUCCACCUAGUCUCCUGGAUGCACGCUAUGUUGACCCUUCUCUGUUGGAGAACCUUCGCUAACUCGAUGGACUUACCCGUCAGAGUGCCUAUGUUCNNN
rnacentral:lncRNA from 1 species